rnacentral:rRNA from 1 species
UGAAUACGAGAUGCUACGGCAUUGAAGUAGUGUAUGUCAGACUUCCAAGAAAAGCUCGCAAUGUCAUAAAUAAAUAAUGCCUGUACCAUAACCGACACAGGUGGGUAGGUAGAGUAUACUAAGGGGCGCGAGAUAACUCUCUCUAAGGAACUCGGCAAAAUGACUCCGUAACUUCGGGAGAAGGAGUGCCUCAUUUAUGAGGUUGCGAUAACAAGAUCCAAGCAACUGUUUACCAAAAACACAGGUCUCCGCUAAGUCGUAAGACGAUGUAUGGGGGCUGACGCCUGCCCAGUGCCAGAAGGUUAAAGAAGUUGGUUAGCAUCCGCGAAGCUGAUAACUGAAGCCCUGGUGAACGGCGGCCGUAACAAUAACGGUCCUAAGGUAGCGAAAUUCCUUGUCGGGUAAGUUCCGACCCGCACGAAAGGCGUAAUGAUUUGGAUUCUGUCUCAGAGAGGGACUCGGUGAAAUAGACUUGUCUGUGAAGAUGCGGACUACCUGCACCAGGACAGAAAGACCCUAUGAAGCUUUACUGUAACUUGAAAUUGAAAUUGGACUUUAGUUGCGCAGUAUAGGUGGGAGGCGUUGAGUUUAUUCUUGCGGGAAUUUAGGAGCCAUCAGUGAGAUACCACUCUGCUAAUGUUAGAUUUCUAACUUUGCAUCAUAAUCUGGUCAAAGAACAGUUUCAGGCGGGCAGUUUGACUGGGGCGGUCGCCUCCUAAAUUGUAACGGAGGCGUACAAAGGUUUCCUCUGAACGUGUAGAAAUCGUAUCUAGAGUAUAAAGGCAUAAGGAAGCUUGACUGUGAGACUUACAAGUCGAGCAGGGACGAAAGUCGGUCUUAGUGAUCUGACGGUGCUGAGUGGAAAGGCCGUCACUCAACGGAUAAAAGUUACUCUAGGAUAACAGGCUGAUCUCCCCCAAGAGUUCACAUCGACGGGGAGGUUUGGCACCUCGAUGUCGGCUCAUCGCAUCCUGGGGCGGUAGUACGUCCCAAGGGUUGGGCUGUUCGCCCAUGAAAGCGGUACGCGAGCUGGGUUCAGAACGUCGUGAGACAGUUCGGUCCAUAUCCGGUGUAGGCGUUAGAAUAUUGAGAGGAGCCUUCUUUAGUACGAGAGGACCGAGAAGGACAUACCUCUGGUGUACCAGUUAUCGUGCCAACGGUAAACGCUGGGUAGCUAUGUAUGGAGUGGAUAACCGCUGAAAGCAUCUAAGUGGGAAGCCCACCUCAAGAUAAGUAUUCUCAC